rnacentral:lncRNA from 1 species
CGCAGACGCCGGCAAGACGGCUUUGAUCUUCGUUUCAAAAGGAAUUCCUGUCUGCGCCCAUUGGCAGAAGCCUUUCUAAGUGACUCACCGGCACAUUAGCUCUUGCAACCUGUUUGUUUUUGGUUAGUUAUAAUAUAGCAAUCAGGAGUAGCAUCGAGGCUGACAAUCACCUGCGCCAAAUGCCUUGUUUUCAGUUCCACAAAGGCGCCUCUGUAGGUCCUCGACAGGCACGUCGCUCACCGCUUCCUGUUUGUUGACAUAACUUUGAAGAGCCUGAAAGUCGGACUUCAUAAAGGGAAUUUUUAUUUUGACAGAAAUAUCUUAAAAUUUAUGACCCCAUUUUCUCUCGUCUUUUUUUUUUUUUUUUUUUUUUUUUUUCUCUGCUCCGUGGAAAUAAUUUACAAAAUGUCCUUGAUUUGGAAUGCAUGGGAAUGAUGGAACUGAAAGGCUACAGAAAGCGGACCCUGCGAGACGCGAUCUUGCCAUGUUCCGGCCGCACCGCACGAAUCCUACUGGGCUCAGUUGCCAGGAGACAGGCAGGCUGAGGACGCAGAAAAUGGCCCACAGGUGGAAACAGACGGCGAGGCCUGUCCUCUUGGCCUUCACGGGCGCAACUGCGACAGACGGCCGGCUCAGCAGCCCUGCUCACAGGCAAAAAGAAAAUGAAAUAGAAAUGGAAGGCUGAACUCAAAAUUUUGGUACAAUGCAGAAGAUGAAAUAUGAAACAACAUGAAGGCAAAUGUUGAUGAAUGAAGCAAACGCCCAGUGUUUCCAGUUUCCUUCCAUAAUCUGUUAUCAGAUUGCUGAUAAAGUUAAGAAUUGGGCUAAUAAACGUACAAAAGUUUUUUUUCUCCUUUUUCA